UACGUAGGGGGCAAGCGUUGUCCGGAAUUAUUGGGCGUAAAGAGCUCGUAGGCGGUUUGUCGCGUCUGCUGUGAAAACUCGGGGCUCAACUCCGAGCUUGCAGUGGGUACGGGCAGACUAGAGUGCGGUAGGGGAGAGCUGGAAUUCCUGGUGUAGCGGGUGGAAUGCGCAGAUAUCAGGAGGAACACCGGUGGCGAAGGCGGGUCUCUGGGCCGUAACUGGACGCUGAGGAGCGAAAGCAUGGGGAGCGAACAGG
rnacentral:rRNA from 1 species